rnacentral:rRNA from 1 species
GACGAACGCUGGCGGCGUGCUUAACACAUGCAAGUCGAACGGUGAAAGCGGAGCUUGCUCCGCUGGAUCAGUGGCGAACGGGUGAGUAACACGUGGGCAACCUGCCCCUCACUUCGGGAUAACUCCGGGAAACCGGGGCUAAUACCGGAUAUGACCUCCUUGGGCAUCCUUGGAGGUGGAAAGUUUUUCGGUGAGGGAUGGGCCCGCGGCCUAUCAGCUUGUUGGUGAGGUAGUGGCUCACCAAGGCGACGACGGGUAGCCGGCCUGAGAGGGCGGGCGGCCACGCUGGGACUGAGACACGGCCCAGACUCCUACGGGAGGCAGCAGUGGGGAAUAUUGCGGAAUGGGCGAAAGCCUGACGCAGCAACGCCGCGUGCGGGAUGACGGCCUUCGGGUUGUAAACCGCUUUCAGCAGGGAAGAAGCCGCAAGGUGACGGUACCUGCAGAAGAAGCACCGGCUAACUACGUGCCAGCCGCCGCCGUAA